rnacentral:tRNA from 1 species
ACUAUUUUGGCAGAUAAUAUGCACUGGAUUUAGGAUCCUGUUAAAUAGAGUAAGUUCUAUAAAUAGUU